rnacentral:rRNA from 1 species
AGCUAAAGUGUAAAUCUGUGGCGUACAGUUACAGAAUUGUAAUCUAAAGGCUUUUUAGGGAAGUCAUGAUUCUAGCAUAAGUUCCUUGAAAAGGGAUGCCAAAGAGGGUAAAAGCCCCGUGUUUGGCUAGGAUCGGAUGUACCGAAGGGCUCCAAGAGUCGGGUUGUUUGGGACUGCAGCCCUAAAUGGGAGAUAAACUUCUUCUAAAGCUAAAUAUUUAUGGGAAACCGAUAGCAAACAAGUACUACGAAGGAAAGAUGAAAAGAACUUUGAAAAGAGGGUUAAAAGACUUGAAAUCGUUGAGAAGAAAAGCGGUAGAAGAGAAAUGAUUUCGUUGCGAAGUAUGUGCCGUUGUUGUUGCUUUCAGGGGGGAUGGUACUUCAUAGGGCCUACCUUUUGACCAGUGGCGCAUAGGUACUUUGUCGCAGCGAAGUGCAAAAUGAGGUCUCGUUUAUGGAAACGUUUUUGCGGAAGACGCUGGCCUUGAUGCUGGCAGCUGCGAUUUCCAACAUAAACUUGGCCUGAGGGCUCCAUCUGGAGAUUUUGCAAAAAAGGCUUCUACUGACCCGUCUUGAAACACGGACCAAGGAGUCUACCACAUGUGCGAGUUUUAGGGUGGAAAAACCCGAAAGCGCAACGAAAGUGAGUAUAAGGUGUGAAUCUGAAAGGAUGCAGCAUCGACCAACCUCGAUUUUCGAAUGAAGGGAUUGAGUAAGAGCACAUUUGGUAGGACCCGAAAGAUGGUGAACUACGCUUGAGUAGGGCGAAGCCAGGGGAAACUCUGGUGGAGGCUCGAAAGCGUUACUGACGUGCAAAUCGAUCGUA